rnacentral:lncRNA from 1 species
AUGGGGUCACAGAGGAAGCGCAGAGGAAGCACAGGGUCCCCGAGGAGGAGGGGCCUGACGCCCAGCAGCCCAGUGCAGACCAGGGGCACGUCUCUGGGAGCUGAACUUCCGUCUCUAUCACCUUCAGGAACACAGCAGCGACAGCCAUAUCACCAGCCAAGAGAGCCAUUCUCUGACAAGGGAAGAUGUCAACACCACUACAUUGUAAACUUGAAAAUAAAAGAAAGCAAGAAUUUUGAUAUAGUAAGCAUUUCAUUUGAAUUAAAUAUUAAAUGGUAUGAAGCGUGCACACGUGUUUUGUUAUAUGAAAAUAUGGCAUGUUUAAAACAAACCAGCCAACAGAAAGCGGGGCGAGGCUGCAGCGGGACCCGAGCUGCGUGGCGGCUGAGGAGUGUACACACGGCAUUAGUGACUCAUCACCUUGAGCAGAGGCUCGACAAAGUCUCUGUUUAUUCUGCAAACCACGUCAGGAUAACUGCUGCAAGUUAAGAUGCUGAGGAAGCCUCCUGAAGCGUACCUGUGUGUGUGAGCUCGGGGUCCCUGGGAAGCCAGGUGCUUCUGGUCCUCUGGGCAGCCAGGGAAGUGGCAUUCCUGGUCUUACCCAGGUGCCCUCCAUGCCAACCCAAGGCCAGGUUCUUGACUGCACUCGGCUGCCUAAGUCCUGUCAGUUAGAAGGAAAUCCUUGUUUGGUGUCAAACAGCAGUGCACCUGCCUCCAGGGACCACAUCCCACCUCCCUCAUCCCAUCAAGGGCAGAGUGGCCCGAGGGUUGCCCACCUUCCUCACCACAGCCUGGGCACUUGCUGCUUCUACUGACCAGGAGGUUUCCUUCUUGCUCUUUAUUUAGACAGCUUAUCCUCACUCUCUGUGACUCAUCUAAACAUCACCUUAUCACAGAGUUUGCAGAUGACCCUUCAUCCUAUGAUCUGGCAUGAUAUCUUUAUAGCUUUCGUCUCUGUCCAAAAAUCACAUGUAUUUGCUUAAAUGGUUAAUCUCAGGUGCCUCAAUUGGGCUGUGCAUUCUUUAAAGGCAAAGCAUUUUAGUCCCUUAAUGUAGGCACAGCCCACUCUCCUGGGUCUUCAAGGACAAUUUAAAAAAAAUAUAUAUAUAUAUUUUCAGUUCAUACAUAAUAGAAUGACAUUUAUAAACUUGCAGUUUUCCAUGUAACAUAACCAUAAAAGAAUGUAAUGGCAUCUAUAUUUGAUUGUUUUUGUGUGCAUGCGUGCUUUGUAGGGGGAAAUGCAUCUAUCUUUUUACAGACAGCCUUUGAAUCAAGCCCUUCAGUAAAAUUUAUGUAUGUUUUAAUAAUUUCCUUGCUGGUAUAAAUGCUUUGUAUUUGAAAAGUUAUCUGGGGUAUUACAUAAAAGACUUGCUUGACCUUAUGAAGUUAAGUCAUAGUCACUGAAUUUUAGGAAGGAUUAAGGGUUAAGCUUAUAAAAAAUAUUAGAUGUAAGUAAACUUCAUAUUGGCCAACAGCAAGAGGUAGUCUAUGAACGUCAUUAUUUUGAAUUAAGGAUUAAUGUUUAACAUUCCCAAAUUAUGUUUUAAGUGUUUUGUAGGACAGGUUAAAAAAAAGUUUAUUUUCAAUGUUUCUUGAAAUUUCAAAUAAAACUUACAGUUAAAAUGUUAAAAAAAAAAUUUAUGUGCCAUGCCAGGCAUAGUGGCUGGCAUGUAACAGAUAUUCCAUAAAGGCUGUUGAAUAAAUGAAUGGACUUAUGAAGACUGACUUUCCAAGCCCUGGGAAAAAAUCCGGAUUCAUCACUUUUCAUUAUGGGUCAAAACCUAUAUUUCCUUUUCAACUUACUUGCCUGCCUGGAAUUUAAAAAAAAACUCUUUUUUUUUUCCCCUUUAAAUCCCAUUCCUAGACCUGUCACUCCUGGGUUAAACAAGCUCACUUAAUAUUUUUUUUCCCUGUGUGGGCUUUGCUUGGGCCCCAUAGAUGUGCCGUGUAUGUUUUAUGAGCUAACAUUUAUUUUAGACACUUUGGCCCAUUGGACACAAUCCUGUAAGCCUGAACUCUCAGCUGACAUGCUGUUGAACAUAAUGAGGACGUUUAAAAAGGUAUCCCUGAGGACUAGAGCGGAUUGCAGGGCGCCAGAGCCAAGGAGAGUGGGUGGUGGAGCCACAGAAAGCUUUGCGCUCUCUCUGGUGGUCACAGCCCUCUUGCCGCUACCUGUAGUCUCAGGAAGCUGUUCCCAAGCCAGGCGGAGGAUGCAAAACUGCCUAACUGCUGUCCUCGGAAUGCAGCACUCCUGAUAAGGCUGGGAGCCGGAUGGCAGCAUUUCAUAAGCAGAGCUGGACACUCUGAUCUAGGUGAGUGGCAGCUGGGGAGUCUCCGAGUUGUGUGUGGAAUUUUGGAUGGAAUCCAUAGGCCCCAGAAAUUCCAGAACACUCUCUUCCUCGGACAGGGUCCUCAAUAAAAGAAU